rnacentral:rRNA from 1 species
GACGAACGCUGGCGGCGUGCUUAACACAUGCAAGUCGAACGGAAAGGCCCUGCUUGCAGGGUACUCGAGUGGCGAACGGGUGAGUAACACGUGGGUGAUCUGCCCUGCACUUCGGGAUAAGCCGGGGAAACUGGGUCUAAUACCGGAUAGGAGCCAGUUUUAGUGUGAUGGUUGGAAAGUUUUUUCGGUGUAGGAUGAGCUCGCGGCCUAUCAGCUUGUUGGUGGGGUAAUGGCCUACCAAGGCGGCGACGGGUAGCCGGCCUGAGAGGGUGGACGGCCACAUUGGGACUGAGAUACGGCCCAGACUCCUACGGGAGGCAGCAGUGGGGAAUAUUGCACAAUGGGCGCAAGCCUGAUGCAGCGACGCCGCGUGGGGGAUGACGGCCUUCGGGUUGUAAACUCCUUUCGCUAGGGACGAAGCUUUUUGUGACGGUACCUAGAUAAGAAGCACCGGCUAACUACGUG